rnacentral:lncRNA from 1 species
CCAUCUAUCUAUAUACACACACAGUCUCACACAUGCACACACACACAGUCUCACACACAUGCACACACACAGAGUCUCGCACAUGCACACACACACACUAAACACAUUUGAAGGUGAGUUGUUGUUGUUGUUUUCUAUUAGCAGGCAAAUUAAUUGCACUCACAUCACUGACAUGUGGAUGUAUGCAGACAUGGUGAUGCGUGGUUUGAAUAUGAAAUUGAAAUUUCUAUGACACAGGUUGGAAUACGAAAUAAUAUCAGUGGUUGUUAUUAUUAACUUAACCAGCAUUAAGAAUUUGUGACCUGGCAGAGUUGUUAGCAAGCUGGACAAAAUGCCUAGCAAUGAUCUGAGUUCAAAUCCUGCUGAGGUUGACUUUACGUUUUUUUUUCCUUUCAGGGUUAGGAAACUAAGUACCAGUUGAGCAUGGAGGUUGAUGUUAUCAACUCAGCCCCUUCCCUAAAAUUUCAGGCCUUGUGCCUAAAGAGAAAGGGUUACAUUAACCAACAUUAAAUGAUCUGGCUUCUGUGGAUUAAAGGUGUAAUAGGAACUGAAAUCCGUUGAUGUCUCACAGUGUGUUUUGCAUUACGGAUUAUCUUCUUAUCUUUUAUCUUUAACUCGCUUCCAUCAUUGAACCGUGGCCAUACUGGGGCACUGCCUUGAAUGCUUUAACUGGACAAAUCUAGCCCAGUACUUACUAUUUAAGUUUGAUACUUAUUGUAGUGGUCUUUUGUUGAACUGCUAGGUUAUGGGAAUGUAAACAAACCAACAGCUGUUCUAUAUUUAAGAGAUGAGGAGUUGAUGCAAUCGACUAACCUCCUGCCCAAAGUUGCUGGCCUUGUGCCAGAAUUAGAAACCAAUAUUUACUUAUGCUCUCCUCUUGUAUUUUGAGUUCGUACUUUGCCUAGGUCAUCCUUGCCAGUCGUCCUUCCAGGUUCAAUAAAAUUAAGUAAUUGCCAAAUAGAGUGGUUCGUUUAAUCAACCGUACCUUUCCUGAAAAAUAUGUAUUUUUGUGCCAAAAUUAGAAAUCAAUAUUAUAUAUGUUAAAGAUCAUUGGAAAAUACUCAAUAAAAUAAUGGUUUAAAAUUUUCUAGAAUCUGACUGAUUAAUGACACUUAACAUUUGAAUGUUUCAGAAUAAUGUUUUCUUGGUGAUGAUGAUGUUCUAAAAACAGAAACAAUCCCUGUAAUAAUAGGUACAUUAGGUAUG